AUAUCAGUAAGCGGAGGAAAAGAAACUAACAAGGAUUCCCGUAGUAACGGCGAGUGAACUGGGAAAAGCUCAAAUUUAAAAUCUGGCACCCUUGGUGUCCGAAUUGUAUUUGAUAGAGCUGUCUUGUGGCCACGGUGCGCGCUGGUUCAAGUCCCUUGGAAAAGGGCGUCAGAGAGGGUGACAACCCCGUGGGGACCAGUGUCUGUGGCCGAGUAUCAAGGCAGUUCGACGAGUCGGAUUGUUUGGGAAUGCAGUCCAAAAUGGGUGGUGACAUUUC
rnacentral:rRNA from 1 species